rnacentral:lncRNA from 1 species
GGACUUAGCUUCAACUUUUUCAUUUUCUUCCUUCUUUUUUAACCGAAAAUGGCAGCAAAGAAAGGGUUUAGAAGUUGGAAACUUUCAGCAAAGAAACUCCCUUUUAUAGUAAGUGAUUUUAAUGCUUUUUCUUGAAGAUUUUUACAUUUUUGUAACCCCAAAAGCAUGAGUUUUCAAAUGAGGGGUCUAAUUUGCAAAAUGAUAAAGAGUAUAGGGUUUUGACAUGAAAGCAUAUGUGUUGUUUGCUGAGUUUUUAUGGAAGAAAAUAAGUUUUGGUAGUAUUAUAAACACUUUUUGUGAAGGAAGAUUGCAUGAAAACUCUUAAAAAGGGGAUAUUUUGCAAAGUAGUAUAAUAAGUGUAAGUGUAUGAAAUAGUUGAUAUUGUGAGUUACUACAGUUAUGAAAAUGGUUCAUCUAGUCUUAAAGAGUAAAGAAAUUGAAUAAAAAUCAUUUUUCGAGCUUAGGGGUAAUUUGGCAAUUUUGGCAUAAUAUAGGGGCAAAAUUGUAAAAACUGCCCAAGUGUGUCAAUGGAAUAAUUUGAUUAGUACAUUAUUUUAAUAAGUUGAAUGUGAUGUUAUAGAUGAUGAAAAUUGAGAUUUGGACUUAGAACGGAAAGAAAUCGAUUAAGGGAUGAUUACGUCUUUUUCACCUUUGUUGUAUCUAGGUAAGUUCGUAUGUAAACAAUACCAUGAUAUACAUGUAUUUAAAUGUUAUCAUCACAUGAAUUGUACGAAUAUUAAUGUGUAUGUGAUUAAUAUAAAUAUGAUAAGACAAAGCCUUGAUAGGCGAGGAAAAAUCUCGUUUGAACCUUAGGAAUAAAAUAGGAUAUGAGUGACAUGUCACUAGGAAUUAUGAGUCUAGAUGACUAGCUCGAGAGAGAGCAUUUAAAUUUCAUGAGAUAUGAGGUAGCUUUAGCUACAACUGACGUAAAACCGAGUAUCUAAUUAGUAUUCCAAGUGUUCAACGGGUAAUCCGAAGAAAGAGUUGAUGAUGGUCCCAAUGAGGUAAGUCAUUGGUGAGUAUGCACUUGAGUUAUGUUACGAGUUGUGCAGGUAUGUACACUAAGCCAAUGAGAAUGCCUUGGUAUGUGAAUGAUCUAUGAUGCAUAAAUAUGUGUUCUUACCGUGAUGGAUAAAAUGAUGUUGUAUUAAUUUUGUGAACACUGAUCAUGAAUAACUUAGCCUUGACAGAUUUGAGUUACUGUAGUAGUGUAACUUUGAAAAUACACUAAAAAUAUUGAAAAGUGAGUUAAAAGCUGAAUAAAAUAUGGAAAUAAAGCUUAUUUAGUCUAGUUUCUUAUAAAAGAAUCCGUGUAAGCAAAAGAAUUUCCUAUAAUGAGAUAUUUGAAGUUACGUGGGUAGAGUCAGAAUGACUUCGAGAUCCCCUGUUCUGAUUUGAGAAGAUCAUUAUAAAUUGUAAAAAAAAUGGUUAUGAGUUAUGAUUUAUAUGCUUAGAAUCUUUGAUGAGUCUUGUUUCAAGAGAAAUAGACGAGAACAUUAUUCGAGUCCUGUGCUUUGAGAUAAUUGAACUUUAGCUCAGAAGGGUUGGAACUGUCAGACAGUGAAUCAGGGGUAAUUUUGAGGAAUAAAUUGUACUAAUUGGCUAAACCAAAAAUUCUGAAAAUUUUAUGGUAGAAAGGUACAUGAGUCUGGUUUCAACGAAAAUUAAUAGAACCUAAUUUUGAGUUUCGUAGCUCCAUAUAUAAAUAAUUUAGUUAUUGUUGCUUAGGAAGAUAGCUUGUCGUGAACUUGAGAAUAUGUUGUAAACAUUGAUAAAACAUGUUAAUGAGUUGCUUAUUGUUUUCAUAUGAACUUACUAAGCGUAAAGCUUACCCCCCCUUUCUUUCCCAUGUUCCCUAAGGUUUCCAGGUUAGCUCGGGUUGGAGGCCGUCAGAGAUAUUAUCACACUGUCGAGUUAACGCUAUCGGUGUAAGUAAAUCCUAGUGUUUCGAGUCUAUGGCAUGUAUAGGGUUUUAAUGUUGAGUAUGUGAUAUUAUGAUUCAGCCAAAUGCAUUGGCUUGUUAUUAAGGUAGUAUGUAGUAAUGUAAAUUGGCCUAUGUCGGCUAAUGACGUUAUGGGCCUAUAUGAUUAUUCUUACGCAUGUAUGUUAUUAUCUCUUGUGAUGUGGCUUACAACAUGUAUGCCUAGAGAUUGAAUUAAGAUUCAUUGAGGAGUUAGUAACUGAUGCAAGAUUAAGUGAUUGGUAAAUAGUUAAUAAUGACUCAUGAAUGGUUUGUGAAUAUGAUUAUGCAUGCCUAGUGAUGGACGUGAGGUUUGUG